ensembl:misc_RNA Metazoa_SRP Metazoan signal recognition particle RNA
ACCGGGCGUGGUGGUGCACGCCUGUAAUCCCAGCUACUUGGGAGGCUGAGGCAGGAGAAUUGCUUGAACCUGGGAGGUGGAGGUUGCAGUGAGAGCCGAGAUCAUGCCACUGCACUCCAGCCUGGGUGACAGAGCAAGACUCUGUCUCAA